rnacentral:rRNA from 1 species
CAAUAGCGUAUAUUAAAGUUGUUGCAGUUAAAAAGCUCGUAGUUGGAUUUCUGGUCGGAAGCUCCUGUCCUCUGAUGAGCGUACAAGUGCGUCCUACCAUCCUUCUGUUAACCUUUAAGGCUUUCGCGGCUUUCUAGGGGCUCAGAUAUUUUACCUUGAGAAAAUUAGAGUGUUUCAGGCAGGCUAGCGCCGGAAUACAUUGGCAUGGAAUAAUGGAAUAGGACUUUUGCCUCUUCUGUUGGUCAUGAGGCUCGAGUAAUGAUUAAUAGGGAUAGUUGGGGGCAUUAGUACUUAACUGUCAGAGGUGAAAUUCUCGGAUUUGUUAAAGACUAACUUAUGCGAAAGCAUUUGCCAAGGAUGUUUUCAUUAA